AUCACAAAUUGCAAGGCACAAGUUUUGAGCACAUACAAUCUUUCAUUGGUAGGCAGCACUACAACUUUGGAGGUCAACACAUUAGGCAAACUCUUUGGAAUUAAGAUAGUGAAAAGUAAAUGUAUGCGAAAGCAAGCUUCCAUUCGGUAAACCAUCAAGCCCAGAUUGCUGCACUCCGAAUUUCCUUUAGACUCAUACGCUACCUUCAGAUCAGCAAGCUUUAUGUUCAGCAAGUGUGUAACAAAACAAGAAUUGAACUGGAAUAGAAUUUGAAAUUUGAACUGAAAUACAAUACGAAAACUAAACUGAGUGUACUUUCAGAUUUUCACAUGGGCAUUAGUGCAUGAAGCAGCAAUGAAAUUGAACUGAAACAAAUUUCAGUUCAGCAAACUUAUAUGAAGUUAUAUGAAGCAUGCUUGAAUGCGUUGACCCGAAGCAUGCUUGUAGGAGAGUAGUGGCACUGGAAGGGAGCCUUUUGCUGAACUUAUAUGAAGUUAUAUGAACUUGUCUAACUUAUAUGGAACUUAUAUGAAGCCUUUUGCUGAACUUAUAUGAAGUUGACCAGACAAGAUGAUACCGGGGCGCAUCAGAAUAUAGGAGAGUGGUGAUGCAAGUCAGUCACCGGCUGGAUAAUGAAGCGGGUGGUAUGCGGCAUGGAGACAACCAGAAAAUGGGACAUCCAGGGGUAGGGAGCGUCGUCGCUGAAGAUCAGAGAGUGUGGAGCGCAGGCGUGCGGUGUCCCCCGGCCGGCAACGGAGACGAAGGAGAUCGGGGAUAGUGCACUUUUUUCGUCAGCCUGCAAGAUGCUCAAGGACCAGGACAACAUGUAGUUUCAGAAUUACAGAUUGUGGUCAGCUAUAGGAUGUUUCUGGGACCAUGUUUUAGCUACGAGAGAGCAACAACAUCACAUCAUGAGAGAGAGGAUGCAGCAUCAAAAAUUCAGGAGAAAGAUCAGAGCAGAGCAGAAGUAAAUAUGUUUUGAGGAGAUGAACUGACCAGGAUUUAAAUGAACUCUCACUAGCAGUAAUUUUUGUACUUCGCAUGUAGUACUACAUGGACUUGCUGUAAAAUACAUGGACCAUGUAGUAAUUUUGAAGUUAAUUAUAUGAUCAUCUCAGGGAGCUCAAGUUGUACUGAAAGCUCAAGUUGGACUGAAACUCACUCGAUAACUAAAACUCCUAGGGCGAGGGGUGGGAUCCAGGGUGCUGCUAGCAAUGAAUGGCCUGGGGUGGUGGCGUUGAACGGCCUGGAGUGGUGGCUGUGAACAGCCAGGGUGCUCCGGCGGCAGAGCCCCACCGGAGAUGGUGAUGCAAGCAGGAGGUCGGGAAGCAGUGGUGCCGGUGGUCGGGGUUGUCCAAUGCACACGGCACACCAGUACAGGAAGUUGAUUCAUCACCCAUCCACAGUUUUUUUCCUUUUGGGAAUCCAUUGAACUGAAAAAAGCUACAUGUGAGCUGAAAGUAUGAAAAUAACACAUCUUUGAAAGAAUAAAGAACUAGCUUUAACUUAUCUAUGAAAGAAUACACCUCCGAGGAACUAGCUUUGAACAUAUCUCUGAAAGAAUAGAGAGCAUGCAAAGUUCAAGGAAAGAAUAAGCAAAAUGGCACACUAGUACGCAGUAGUACGAGUCCAGUCAUGUACGUGCUAGUAUUAGAUUUGAAUAGUAGCUAGAAUUGAAGUUCAGGUAACCAUGGCACACACAUCAUACAGUUUUAGUCAUGUAUGCACACACACUGUAAUAGUAGCUGCAAUUAAAGUUCAAAUAACCACGGCACCCAUAACAGAACAAGAAUCAGUCUAGCAGCUAGGCAAGCAAGCUUCAUCAGCAUGAAUACACAUCAGCGGCAAGCUAGAACACGCUAGUAGGCUGUAGAAGUCUCCUUGUAAUUUUUCAAACAGAAGUGCUUUAGUUCAGUUCAGUAGUAAGGCAUGGAAAAAGAAAAGCAAUGGAAUAAACUAUAACCGAGCCAAAUAUGUAAUUUCAACAACCUAGACCUCAUUGCUUGACUUCAGUAGUAAUACAUGAUCAUCAGUUCAAUAUAAACAGACUGAUGUUAACAUCAUCGUACAUCCAUUGCCGGUUCAUCUGCGUGCAUUAUAUAUAAUUAAGUGUGUCAAAAACCAUUACAGAAUAGCAUGAAUACAAAAGACCAAAUUAAUAGAAGUUCAUCAUCACAUUAAAACCAAAGUACAGUAGUGAUCAAAUGUUGUUACUGAAAAAAUAAAUACAUAAAGUUCAUACAUAUAUAGUUCUCAUUGAACAACAUAUAUAUAGCUCUCUAGAGCAUCUAAUUAAACCAUACAUUGAAACAAUGUAAAAACAUUUCAAUGCAACAACAAAUGCGAUCAUAAUCGCAACUAAGGUAACAAUUGAUCCAACGGCAUAAUGAUGCCAAGCCUCGGUAUGAAUGGCAUAUUUUCUAAUCUUUCUAAUCUUCAAGCGCAUUGCAUCCAUCUUGAUCUUGUGAUCAUUGACGACAUCCGCAACAUGCAACUCCAAUCCCAUCUUCUCCUCCUUAAUUCUUUUCAAUUUUUUCUUCAGGUAAUUGUUUUCUUCUUCAACUAAAUUUAACCUCUCAACAAUAGGGUCGGUUGGAAUUUCCGGUUCACAUACCUCCUUGAUGAAAACAUCUAUGUCAUGUUGGUCGGCAUAAUUUUCAUACACACUAAAUGAACAAAAUAGUUAUAAAAUAUAAUAUAUACCACAUCGGAAUCAUAGACAGGACGAGGGCCGACGGAGGCGGAUACCAAAACCAUCGCACUAUAUGAUAACAAAAAAUAAUAAAAGUAAUAAAAUUAUACAAGUAUCUAUCUAAAUCAUACAAGUAAGAACUUUUUUCUUUUAGAAGAUAAGAACAAGAGGCUCACCACGGUGGUGCCAGCGACGAGAUCGGCGCGGGCGAUCGACAGCGGUGAGGACGGGGACGGGACAGGAUGGACCGCCAAACCUAGACAAAUCUUAAGGAAAAUGGAGUUUGGACAAGGAGCUUCGAGAGGAGAAAGCUUAAGUAUGUCUCGGACAUUUCACCGAACACCUCAUGUGCAUAGGAGGUGAGCUAGAGCACCACAAAGCUCUCCCACGGCCGGCCAAAAAAUAGAGCAAUGCACUGCUCUGCUCGCGGGCAGGGGGAUAUAUAGGCCUCUCUUUAGUCCCGAUUUGUGGCUAGAACCGGGACUAAAGGACCCCAUUUGGUCCCGAUUCCAACCACCAACCGGGAUUAAAGGUUGUGGGCCAGGAGCGAGGCCCAUUUGUCCUGGUUCGUGUCUGGAAGCGUGACCAAAGGGGUCAGACGAAUCGGGACCAAUGGCCCCCGAGGCCCUGCUGACGCCCUGGCUUUAUGAACCGAGAUUGAUGCACCCAUUAGUCUCGGUUCAUAGGGAAACCGGGAUUAAUGCCCUUUUCAGACCUGGACCAAAGCCCUAUUUUCUACUAGUGUUGUAGGCCUCGCUCACAUGAAGUAAGAACGGUCGGUGACGAUGCCUCAUAAAUCCAUGUGGUGCAAUCAUAGUUGGUGGUGCAGGGGAGGAAGUAACCUUCUUUGAUGGGGAUUCCAUCGCACGCUUGUUCGUCAUGUAGACGCGUCCUCUUAAUUUCUGUUCAGCUUUACAGGCAAGACGAAACAAAUGAUCGAUAGAAUAUAGUCUUCAUGCAUUAUUAUGUCUUGUAUAUCAUGGUUUAAACCUUUCCAAAAUCGAUUCAGAAAAUCUUCUUCGCAUUCUUGUAAGCCAGAACGAAACAAAGCAAUACACAAAUUGUCAUAAUAUUCUUCAACAAUGAUAUUGUCUUGUUCUAAACGUUUUAAUUUUCAAAGCAAAUCACUGGCAUGAUAUGAAGAACAAAUCGGUCUCGCAUAACAAGUUUUAAAUCUUUCCAAGUAGAAGGCCUAUUAUCAAUAUUUUUCCUGCAAUAAUUUCUCCACCAAACUGAAGCAAAACCUAAAAACAUCUUAGUGACAACAUUUAUUUUCUUAUGCUUGGGAAGUUCAUGGCUAGCAAAUAUUUCUUCUACCUCAAUUUCCCAAUCAAUAUAUGAAUCAGGGUCAUAUUUACCCUUAAAAUUUGGCAAAGAGGUAACAUGAUGAUGUGUGUUUCUACCAUGAUGUAUAUCAUGUGACGAUCGUCGUACCUUUUGUGGUGGGAAAGAGUGAUCUUUAUCAAUAUAUGGCAAGUCAUCUCCCACAAUAGAUGCACCCCAACUGUCAACCGCUCUAGAAUCUGCCAUGGUUAGUACCACACAAAAACAAAAAUAAUAAGUAUAAUGUUUCUAUAGUACUACUUGGAGGUGGCAGAAAAAUUCUCUCAACACUCUAGCAAUUACCAAGCUCUUACCAGAUCUUACCGUGCUGCAGUGGUUGUCGGCCUUUGGCGCCUUCAAAAGUUAUCAAAGUUGGAUAUAGUGAUUGCCAAAUCACCGAACAAGGUACAAUAUAGAAAGUGGAGCUUGGUGAAGGUUUUCUCAACUCACAAUAUCGGUGGCACAAUUUUGCUAAAAGUAAUGCAAGAUGAAUAAUUGCUCAAACUCCUAACUAGUGCUGAUAGUCGACUAGUAAGAGAUAAAAUAAUCUAAGCCCAGAUACUGAAUCAAGCGAGAGGGAACUGACGAAAAUAUAAUAGCUCCAAGUAGCUAGAUAUAAGUGAGGUAUGAACGUAGUGUAUGGCAACCAAGAGCAGACAAAAAAAUCCAACACUUAUCACUUAUAUGAAUAGAGCAGGCUGAACAGCAAAAGAGAUUUUUCAAAAGAUGCUAGCUGGCCAAAACUUUGCAUCAAAUUUUUUUAUUCUUUUUUCUGAAUUUUCCUUUUUCUUCAACUUUCAGGCCGGCCGCUAGUAGAAGUCACGGACACAAAUAUCUGACCAAACAGGUAUGAAGGGGUGGCCGGGGCACAUCUGGUGUAGCCCAUUGGCGCUGUCCAGCGGUAAAAGAUCUCAUGCCAUUGCUGAAAUUCACGUCCCCCACCCAGGGCAUUUUGGUCAUUUUGCAUCUAUGCCCUUUUCCGAUUCGCUGCAUCCUCCCCCAAUGAGUGCCUCCCUCAUUUUUCUAUCCCUCACAUCUCUCUCGGGAGAGAGUCGCUGCCGCUAGUCAUCCUCCCCGUCUGCCGCCGCUGCCGCCAACCAUCCGCAGCCGCGCCACCAUCCCCUCCCCGUUCCUCUCCCGUAGCUGAGCCAGCCAUGGCCAGGAAGAAGUGCAAGUCCUCUUCCUUCCUCCCUCACCCCUGAUCUGAAUCCUCUCCCGGAACCCCAGCCAGCCGCACGCAUCCCAUAUGGCGCCGCCCAGCUCGCAGCCCUCGGCCGCCGAGCCAUCGCGAGGCUCCUCGCGCAAGCGCACGACCUCCUCAAAGGCUGCGCCCGAGGCCGACCUGGAGUUCACCGUCACCAAGGAAAGGUAAGGGGAGGGGAGGGGAUGGAAGGGAUCGAGCGACCAGGUGAGGAAGCGCCCAGAUCCACAGGGCCAUCGACACUUCGUCAUCGACCUCAUCCGCGACCGUCCUCGAGGUCGGCCAUGGUGGUCCGGCCGGCAACAGCCAUGGAAGGAGAGGCCCGAAUCCCUGGCCCUCCAAGUACGCGCCUGCUGCAGGCCAUCUCCGGCGAGCUCAUCCACAGAUCUCCAACUAUGGUGCGUGCGCAUGAUACCUAAACCCCUUGUCUUGUCGGUUUCUUCAUCUUCCCUCCUUGUGAUUCCUUGGUUUGUUUUGUGCGCAGUUGCUCCGAUCUGGAAGAGGUGGUGGAGCUUUUGUUGUUGCUGCUGUAGGUGGACGAGGCACCACCCUCUCUUUCUACUUCUGGACACAACCUGGUGGUGAUUGCAAAUUUCAGUGUUAAAAAAUUCAGUUCAAUUCAGUCAUGUUCUUUUUCUUUUGUGGGGAAAUUCAGUCACAUUCAAUGUUCAACUUUUAGAGUUAACAAACUGUUGUUAUGACCACUAUGGUUUAGAUGUUCAGAAAUUCAGACAAAUGGUAUGAUGAAAUGAGCCACCUUUUAACCCCCUACUAAACCUACCGUGAACGUGAGAGAGCCAAUGCAGGGAGGUGUGGACAUUUUACCAUGUUCAUAGGAAGAAAUCAACAUAAAAUACACAGCUUGUAGAUGAUUCGUCAACCACCAUCAAACACGACUUGUAACUUUCUGGACUAAACUGAACCGUGCAAUUGACUCAAAAUAAAACUAAACCGUGCAAUUGACUCAAAAAUAAAUAGUAAAUAUACUUUGGUUGUGUCUGCAGAAUUGCAUUAUGGAAAGAUGUGUGUGAGGUUACCCCAUCGCCACUGGUUCCAACUUUGUCCAUCAUGUCGCUCUGAUGAGAAGACCUUGUCCAUGUUUCAUUAAUAGGGCAGAGUGCUGCUGAAGUAUCUAUGUUGAACAAUUAUAACAGUACCAAGUAAGUUUGCUCCAAUUGCAUUUGAUGCAGAAGGCACAACACCGCCAUCAUGCGUCAGGUUCAGUAGAAGGCACGACACCGCCACGCUCUCCUCCACUACAAUGCCAUGCACCCGGUAAUUAAACAUGCUUUCUCUUCAUUCNNNNNNNNNNNNNNNNNNNNNNNNNNNNNNNNNNNNNNNNNNNNNNNNNNNNNNNNNNNNNNNNNNNNNNNNNNNNNNNNNNNNNNNNNNNNNNNNNNNNNNNNNNNNNNNNNNNNNNNNNNNNNNNNNNNNNNNNNNNNNNNNNNNNNNNNNNNNNNNNNNNNNNNNNNNNNNNNNNNNNNNNNNNNNNNNNNNNNNNNNNNNNNNNNNNNNNNNNNNNNNNNNNNNNNNNNNNNNNNNNNNNNNNNNNNNNNNNNNNNNNNNNNNNNNNNNNNCAAGAUCUCAAAGAGGUGCCGGCGAACCCAGGCCACACCCAACGCGCUGGGGGGCUGUUGGGGGCGCCAGCGGAAGCAACAGCCAAUCAUAUUCCUCCAUGUAUCAUUUUUUCUGGUCCACUCAUUCACUUUUUGCCUGGCGACUGUCCUGGGGGCACCAACGGCUGGGAAACCGUCCUUGUGUUUCAUUCGGCGAAGGUGUUUUGCCCCCCAGGACGUGCUAUAUUUGGCCCGACGAUUGUCCUGGGGGCUCCAACGGUUGGAGAUGCUCUAAUUCAUUGUAUUUGCAUGUUUCCAGCAGCCAUGUAUCAAAAAAAGCUUCAGCUUUGGGUUGUUGAUUUAGCAGCAUCAAUCAUUAAUUGUUCUGCUAUAUAUGUUCUUAACCAUGACAACCUGAUUAGGCUCUUAGUUUAUUAUGGUCUUUGUUCUGGGUGGAUCUCUGACUAUUCUGGGUGGGCAUGAAUCUCUUCUUUGUUUCUUCAUCUCCUCUUAUUCUGAUUCCUGCAUUUGUUUUAUGUGAAGGUUGCUCCGCUGAGGACAAGCUGCUUCUGCAGGUGGACGGGCCCUCAAGGCUGCUCUGCCUAUUCCUCCUGCUACCCCCACACGUGGUGAGCCCCAUCCGUUCUCGAGCUACCCCUGCAAAUCUGAUGUGAUGUGCACAAAAUACUUGCAAUUGUUCUCGACACAGGAGCAUGUCAUGUAUUGUUCUAUUUGAAUGUGCAAUUUCAUUGCUUCUGUGAUGUUUGAUGCUUGCUUCACAAGAGGGAAAUCAUGGAUAUAAACUGUGCUUCCUUUCAAGUUGAAUAGUAAUGAUCACCAUUUGGUUCCAUUUUCUCCUCUGCAUCCAGUGUUCACUCUCUCAUAGAUGUCCAUAUAUACAUAGUUCUGAUCUCCUUUUUUCUGCGGCUCCAUACAGCAAACACAAAGCCGUCGAUGCAUUGAGGGCUCAAUGUCGUCUCCGCCGGCUGAGCGGCAAGCCGGGGUUGGGCCUGCACACCGUCUAUCAGCACCCUCCCGUGUCUCCAUUCACGGAUCUGCAGGUCAACCCCUCUUCUCCUCCUAUCCACGCAUCUUCUUUUCCAGAGCUAGGUGUAUGGUUGCAUGGCAAUUUGUGUUUAGGGGCUCACCAUGUUCUGCUUGCCCUGGUUGGCCAAUGAGGCUUUCCUUUUCUUGUAAAGGCCAAAUGUACAAUUCUCUAUGCUUUAUAUUUUUGUAGUUCCUUUGUUUCCAUGCUAGUUUUUUGAUGGGGUGUAAAUAUAUGCUUUUUUGUUCCUUGUCUGGAUUCAGGUAGGGCCUAACAUUAUUGUUCCUUUGUGCAUGGAAAUGUUGGUGGUUUUGUUCCUUUGUGUAUGGAAGGGGGCCUUGAUUAGAAUUUUUAACGUUUGAGUUGUAAUUAGUGUUUUUGUUACACAUGAAAACAUAUGGUUGUUUGUCCAAUCACAUAUGAAAAAGAGAUGAUUGUUUGUCCAACAAUUUUCUUUCUCUGUGAUAGUUUUACUAGAAAUAAAGCAUAGUCACUAUUACAUCCUAUUUUAUAUCUUGUUGUGUCGUGAUAUCUAUAUAGACUCUGUCUACGUCCUUUUGACAUUCCAAGUUUUGUUUUUCUAUGGCUCAAUUAGUUACCCCGUAUCAAGAGAAAUUUAACUGGUAUUUGCGGUAGAGUUAGCUGAAUUCAUGAAGCAAUGAUUUAGUUAUUAUUAAAGCUGAAACACAACAUGUUUUGACAAAUGCGUUCUAAGUAAAGCCUCCAACUAACAUAACCAAAAACAUAUUCUUUAGGUUUAUCAUCUAUUGAAGUAUUAUGUAGAAUUUUAAAUCAUACGAGGCAAAGCAAAUGAGCUCUAUGCACUUUCCAUGUAGCACAAAACAAAAAUAAUCAUGUAUAUUUUGGAUGCACCUAGAUAUACUCAUCAGCAAGGCUGAGGUUAUAGGGCAGGGCACUCACCCACAUUGUCGACAUCUCCGUCACUAUGAUCACCCACAUGAUGGACAAUUCCCUUCUUUCUUUUCUCUGUGGCUAUUGACACUUAAUGCUAUUACUGUGUGCAUAUAUGUACUGUGAUCCAUUCUCAUUCUUCAUAUCUUGAGAAACUAUCUCAAGAUACUCGCAUUUGUGUUUUGAAGAAAGCCUAUUCUAUGAUUAAUAUAUCAAGUAUGGAUGGCGCGAUAUCACCUCUCUUUAUGAUGAUGUUCUUACAGAAUAUAGGUUUUAUGGUAACACGUCUUAGCCAACACCUAUACUGAUGCUCAGACCAGAUGAUUAUAGGCUCUCCUUGCUAUUUUUCUUGAGGUGUGUACAUCUAUCUAGACAAUUUAAUUAAAAUAUAUAUUCCAUACAAACCAUCAAUACAUGUUAGUUGACUUUGAAACUAAUCAGUAAAAAGGUUGUCCCUUUCGCAUUUUAUGGACAUAAAGAUUUGGUGUUGACUGUCGAUCUUUAGUUAACACAUGACCUUACAACCGUAGGGAGUGGGAAAAAACUUAUAUGUUUGGCACAUUUGAAGAACAUAUCAUAGUAACGAAGUUUUGGUAAACAAUGUCCUAGAUCUCAACCAUAUAGAAAUACUAAAUAUAUGUUUAUUUGUAUAUGGAUUAAUUAUACAGACUUAUAAAACCUUGUGCAGGGCACAUAAAAGAAAUUUGAAAUAACUAUUAUUUCAAUAUUUGCUUUUUCAGUUGAGCAUAAUAGUUUAUAGCCUGAUAGGCUUGGACAUAAUUGUCUACAUGUACUGCUCAGUAGGCGACAUCCUUUGGGAAAUUGAGGAUGUCCUCGUGCAUUUUCUAAAUACAAUUGGGGCAUAUCUGAGGAAUGAAGGGAGGAAUAAUCUCGUGGGAGAGUUCGGUGCAGAGGAAGAAGAACAAGAUAUUAUUUAUUUCUUGUGUACAGUCAAGCUUGUGCAUUGUCCCACUGUAAGUUAUUUCAACAAUAGUAGUAACUGUUAUCUCUGGCCAUCUGUUGCGACAUUUUCUUUAACCACCAAUGCAUAUUUAUUUUCUUGUUAAUAACUCUCAUAAUUGCCUGCUACUGUUUCAGUUCUGGGGCCAGGCAACCUUGAAUCCAACGUCCACCUGCAGGCUACAUCUCAGGUAGGAUAAAAAGAUUGCAGUGAACUUGAUGGGUAUAUCAUUAUUGUUGCCUCCUAAUUUGUGUGAUGAGCAAAUGUGUAGAUUGUGUGUAAAUCCGAGAUGCCUAAAACGGUUGGGAACUGAACUUGUUACCUCGGUUCACUUUAAUGGCAUGUUAAACUCGAUGCACUUUCUGGACUGUGACAUUUUUCCUGAAAUUUUGGAAGUGACUGCUAAUGUAGUCUAAAUAGAGUGACUGAGUAGUUACUUUCUCACAAGAGUUGACUUCCCGUUAUUGGAGUACUUGCUAAGAUGGAUUGGUGGUUUUUAUGUUAGAUGAAAAAUAUUACAUCAAUCUUUACGGCUUUUUAUGGGCAAGUGAUUCCGACUCCAUAAUAAGGAAUAAUAUAGCCCUAGUGCUGUGAUAAUGUUAAAACAUUUACCUCUUUUAUCGGUUCAUGUUAUGUAUUUGCUGCGAAAAAAUGGUCUUAUAUCAAAUAAUAGCCUAGAGCUUUUGGAGUGUUAUUACUUGUAUUUGUUGCUUGGAUGUAUAAACCUUCAACAGACUGUCAAUUUUGCUUUUAUAUAAUCUGUUUGUUUAAGUCUGCUGCAUAUUGGUCAAAAGCUCAUGCUAAUUGAUGAUGUUAGGUGAUGAUCUUGUAUCUAACAGUGAUUUCUGAAUGCAUGCUAAAGAAAACUCAUGAACAUCAUGGCGCCUUGUUGAUGGGGUGAUCAAUAGCUACUAUAUUGGGACCCUGAACUUAAAUUGUAGGUCUGAUUUUGUUUCGGAGUUCUCCUGCUACCCACAAGCUUAGAUAGUUCUUUUGUUUGUGCAGGGGAAAUUGCAAAGCAUAUUAUGAAUUGUUACAAGAAACUAUUUCUGCUGUUUUGGUGCAAGGACGUUGCUUUUUAGUAUGCUUCCCGUAUCUUGGUAUCUUGGAAUAAUAAACAGAUAGAUGUCGUGUACCAAGAUUGUUCCUUGUUGUUAAGAGGGAUACAAAUAUUAUACAAGAUUUUUUCUGAUGACUCCUAAAGCAUAUUUGGAUAUACAGCAAAGUAUAUUGUCGCUUCCCUGUUAGUAAAACGAUUAUUUUAGAAAUUUGGUUGGCAGCCCCUACAUUUGGCUGAUUGCUAGCUUACUGGAUUACUCAUGUUUGCGGACUCUGGUAACUUAUGCCUACCAAGAACUACAUGAAUUUUGUGUCUUGCUGCAGUGAACAUUACCAAACUAAUUCUAGAGGUGUUAUAAUCAUGUUUUCUUUUGCAUUAUCAACUUUUAACUUUUGUCAUUUGUUAACACAUUCCUUUUGCAUUAUCAACUUUUAACUAUUGUCAUUUGUUAACACGAUUAUUUAGUAUGUUCACUAUGCGAGUACUCCCUCCGUCUGAAAAUACUUGUCAUCAAAAUAGAUAAAAAGGAAUGUAUCUAGAACUAAUAUACAUCUAAAUACAUCCCCUUUUAUUCAUUUCGGUGACAAGUAUUUCCGGACGGAGGGAGUAGUAAUAAUAGGAGCUAUUUAUUUGCCAGAUAACUAACACUAUUCAUAUGGCAUAAGGGUUAGAAAAAGAACUGUAUUCUUGCUGUGUUGAUUUUCGUAUGGCACACUAUGGAUUCUUUGUGUAACACAUAAUGUCGAUCAACAUGUGUUUACAACGCAGGGAGGAGCCGGGCGACAAGGCAGUCAGACCAAACUCUCUUUCCAUAUAUAUAGGUAGUCUGAUGUUAUGCCAUAGCCGAACCAUAUAUGUUUCGUGUACUGCUCUAUCAAUCUGGUCUUUUGGUAUAUUAGACUCUAUCCUUUGUAAUGAACUUAUUGUCAUGGGCGAUCAUUAUGACUGGAUCGUAUGGUAUGAAUCGGGUCUUUAUGCUUUGUGAUGAAAUAUCAUAUUAUCCUGUUCACCAGUUUGGUUUGGUUUUGAGCUAAAACGUAUAAAAAUACAUGGCUUACAACAAUGGAUAUAUGUGAUGAUAUAUUGAGUGAUUAAGCAUAAUUUUAGACUUUCGGUGCUGGACCAAUGGGAUGCAUGGGGUAAUUGAAUGUUUCUUCUUCACUUUUUAUUAUCGGUUGGGAUCAGCACUCUCGCGCGAUCUAGUUAUGAUGAUGCUGCCUAUACAAAGCAAAUCUAUGUGGCUAUAAAGUGGAGCACCAUGGCGAACAAGAAACUGGCGCUUGAGGACAGACAUGAGUGGAACUGAUGUCUGAUGCAACACGGCGUUGCUGUACGCGUCAGGGCAGACAGCAACGACGUGUAACAGAUGGGAUGUCGGAUUGCACGCAAAACAAAGGAAUCCAAUGCAAUUUUGAUAGUUUUUUUUUCAGAUUAUGGACGAGCUUGCGGCGGAAACCAUGGUGGAGAAAAAAAAGUUCGAUCUAGUAGACAAAAAUUUCUCAUACAAAUCUAAACCAGCACUAUUUGUAGGAUGAUGCAACCAAAAAUUCAACUACGCAAGUACUAGAUGCAAAAAUUGCUAACGGCUAAAAAGAUAGGUGCAAAGGAUGAACUAAUCUUUCUUUCUUUUUUGGCUUUUUUUGGGUUAUAGGACAUGAAAAAUAAGCUAAUCUAACAAAACUGUAAAUCUCUCACCGCUGAAAGUGAAAACUGAUACCACUUAUGUGACGGCGGCCCGAUGUUUCGAUGAGAGUGAGGAUAACUAUCAAUUUGAUGGAUUCUGAUCUUGACGCUCCGGCUAUACAAUACCCGACGAUAUGCCUCGACAAUCGCUAAACCAAUCUCCGAUGGUUAUUGACCUUGCCGUAGGCACGGUCAACCUGAACGACGAGGUUUGAGUUCCUGCAAGUAACUAAAGAACCGGCAAGAACAAAGGUGAAUUGCAAUCUGAAAUUGCGAAUGAAAAAUUAAGCACAUGAACUAGAUCAAAAGUUGGAGUUCCACUUUGGAUCUGACAAGGCGGUAGUCCUACACGUCUCAUAGAUGCGAAACUGUAGCAUGGCUAAACAAUACAAUAAAACCCGCGUAAACCCUAGAAUAUGAUGACUAUUUAUUAAAGGCCGGCGUGGAGAAUGCUUCGUCUAUUUUCUUGGAAGUCAAGACGGGCCUGCUAAUUGGCCGGACACACACGCGAUCUGAUUUGAAAAUAAACUUCUCAUAUCAAUCUGGUGGCAAACUGCCUCAUCGGUACUAUAGGCCCAGAUGCGCAACACACAAGGCCAUGCAUGGGCGCAAAACCUAUACGACGCCCUCAGCGUCCGAUACCAUGUUAACGGUACAGGGCACAGAACGUCGUGAGACAGUUCGGUCCAUAUCCGGUGUGGGCAUUAGAGCAUUGAGAGGACCUUUCCCUAGUACGAGAGGACUGGGAAGGACGCACUUCUGGUGUAUCAGUACACCCCCUUGUCACGAUGGGCCGGCCCACAUUCCUUUUUUUCUAUAUUAAAGACGCCGAAAAAACUGAAUGUAAGCACCAUGAUUCAAACCGGCAAUCGACUGGUUCAACACACACCACCUAACCAAUAGGCUACAUGUUGUUGACGUGGUUAGUUAUAGCUUUUCCUUCUUUUCUUCUUUGUACCUUCUUUUUUGUUUUUUUGUUCGAACGGUUUUGUUAGUUUUUAUUAUUUUCCAUCUUAAUUUUUUUCAAUAAUACAACAUUUUUCGUUUCAAUUUCGUGAACUUUUUUAAAAUUCGAUAUUUUUUUUCAAAAUUCAAUGAACUUAUUUUCAAAUUCGAUGAACUUUUUACAAAUUGGAUGAACUUUUUUCAAAUUUGAUGAACCUUUUUUUAAACUCGAUGUUUGUUUUCAAAUUUGCCAACUUUUUUGAAAAUUCAUGUACAAUUAUGAAUUCAUGAAUUUUUUGAUAUUUUUUUAAUUUUGCAAAUUUCCCCUUUUUAGUUUUUUUAAAUAGCAAUGGUUUUUUCGACAAGUGCUUGCAAGAGAAAAAAGGCUAGCAAAGGAGCGAGCAGCGACCGAUUGAGCCAGCAGCAGCGGUCGAGCGAGUAGUCGAGCGAUUAGCAAUCGAGCGAGCAGCGAUCGAGCGAGCCAGCAGCAGCGGCCGAGCGAGCAGUUGAGCGAUUAGCGAUCGAGCGAACAAAUGCAUGUUGAUUCAAUAAUGCUCAAGUGUAAAUAUUCUGUAUUAAACUUCGCAUCUUCACCCGAGGUUUGUGCAUCUCUUCUUUAAUCCUGCAUAUAAAAUAUUGUGUUGUAUUUUUGUUUCGGAUAACAAAAUAAUAAUUCAUAUAAUUUCUAUUAGAAUUCACCUGAUAAUUAUCUUUACGCGCAAUAAUUGUGGUUAUAUCCGUACGGGUCAUGUUUAUAUCAGGUAGUUAAUCUUCUUUUUCUUAUCCGCAAGACACUUCUUCACAUGCUCAUCCAAGAGGGUUUCGGCUGCCAACAUGAUCAUCGCAUCCACCACGUCCUGUGAGAUUCGCAACCUCUCCUUCUCAAGCUCUAUGUCGCCAAAUGUCUUGGCCUUCUCGAGUUCCCAUUUGAUCGCCACCCCUUGGUGGUCCACCAUGUCCGAACCUCCUUGCGCCGCCGCCGCCUCCCUCUCUCGCUGCAGGCGUUGCCGCAACUUCUGGGCGGCGUCCUCCGCCUUGCAAGUCAGAGCCGACGAAGGGACGCCGACGGACAAGGCGGACGGCGUCUUUGUCGCGGUGGUGGAUCGGGACCGGUGGUGAGGAUUGGGAGCAAGGGUGGAGGACGGCGAGGGUUCGGGCGCGGGAAAAGUUGGAGGGCGGCGGGAGGAGGAGAAAGGGUUUGGUGCAUUUGGCACAAUUUUCAAUGGGGUCGGGCUGACGGGUCCGACGUGGCGGGCGCGCCCGGGCGCCCCAUAUUUGGGCUAGAUAUGAGGGGUGCCGGUCAGCCCAGGCGUUCGAGGCCCGUUUAAGGAGCCCGUCUGGAUCGAAAAAUCGUGACCGGGUGGCCCACCCGGGUGUAUGAGCCAGGCUUGAGGUGCCCGACUGUAGAUGCUCUAAUCAUCUAGAUCUGACGCUCAAAGGCUCCACCCUCCCCCACGACUUGGGUUCGAGCGCCUCCCCAAAACUUCGUCGGGAUCCGCCACAACCGGCAACGGCGAGGCCAGAGGUGGCCGGAUCCGGCACAGGUUGGUCUCUCCCCUCCUUCUUCGCCCACCCUCUCCUCCUUACCUCACGCCACUUGUCUUCCCUUUUUUGCAGGUCGCCAUGGCGCGGACGGCGAUGACGGCAGGAGGGGCACACACAUCCGUGGAAUGGGACGCCGCCAUGGAGAUGGAGAUCCUUCUUCACACCACGCAGAGGCCCCAUGGAGCCUCCCUCCUUCUUCGGUGACUUCUUCUCAGGCCCCACCACUACCUCUGCCCUCCCCCCUCCUCUACUUUGAGUUGCACCAUGCUUUGUUUCAGAUUCAUCCACCCAUGGGUGAUACAUGGGAAGUUAGGGGUUGCUGCAGUUUGAGGUUAAUCCCUUGAUUGGCUGUUGUUUCGGGUUGAUUAGAUUAGUUAGCUCAGUUGGCUGCUAGACUUUAGGAGUGCAUACAUGGGUAUAACAUGCUCUGCACAUUUAGGAUUGAAGUAUUGUGUUGCAGCACUCAGUGACGUUAAUUUAGGGCAUUUCAGUGUCAGUUCCACUAUAUUUCGGGGGACAUUUAACAGUGCAAUUUCAUGGUUAUUACAGUGUAAUUUCAAGGUUCUUGCAUUCUAAGUUCAGAGAAUUACAAUGUUAGUUUAUGUGAAUUCCCGUGCAUUUUACUGUGUAAUUUAAGUGCAAUGGAAAUUAUAGUGUAAAUUCAGUGUAAUUUACUAUGUAAAUUUACGGAAAUUACACUGUAAUUCGUGUGCAACUUUUAGUGUAAUUUACACUAUAAUUUCAACGGGUUUACAGUAGAGUAAUUUAAGUGUAAUUACAGUGUGCACUUUAGAGCAAUCAUACUAUAUAUUUAGUGAAUUUAAAGUAUCACUCCAUACCUUUCGGGUUUGUCUUUUUUCUCUACAAGUUACUGCUAUACUGUUGAUUGAUUCUACCCUUGCGAAAGAAACUUUGAUGAGCACAUAAUUUUCUACUAUGUAAUUUGAGCAGCUUGGUAACCGUAAUUUUCAGUUUCCUUUGACCCUAGGCCCUUGUGCUUUAGAAUUGCUAUUUUUUGUCAGUGUACAUGCUAGAUCAUGUGGUUUAUGAUACUUCUCUGGUCCUUAUAAACAAAGUGACAUGUUUGUACUGUGGAAUAGAAAGAAUAUUUCAGUGUCUCUCUUUAGGCCUUUUGUCGAAUUGUUAUGUGGUCCAGUGCAGCCUUACGAAACCGGGUUCUAUGCAGUUCAUGUACAGUGCAAAACUCAUUAUUGCAGGUCAGGCCUGUAGCAUGUCUUGGGUCAUUGACAUGCAGGAAAGAAGGAAAAAGGACAUAGAAGUAUCAUUUUGUUAUUGGUCAAGAAAAUUUGAAUAAUGUCCAACUGAUUUCAGUUGAAUGACAAAUAGACAAUCCCUUGUUUAAUCAGUAGAUAUACACCAUUAACUCAAAUAGCAAAGAAAUACUAGUCCAUUUAUAAUCGAUGAUUGCGCAUGAUGCAUCCAUCCAUUCUAUCGGAGAGGCUGUGUUUUUUUUCUUCUUGUGCUAAGGUUGAUAGCAUCACAUAUCUUAUGCUUUUGUUUCUCAAGUAGAGCCUUGAGAUAGAUGUGUCUGCAACCGUCCUCGAAUGGUUGUGCAAUAAUAAUGGUCCUAGCUAAUUACUAGUAUGCACUGCUUAUAAAACAACUUGUUGCUCGUUUCACUUUGAGUAUGCUGUUGCUGCUAAAGUAGCAACAACAACAGCCAUGCUUUGGUUCCCCAAAAUUCAGAUGGCACUGGCAUCUCUACAUACACACACAUAUAUGAAUAUGCACCUCAGUUUGGUUCAGUUUGCAUGUGUACCGUUGCUUUAACUUUGACUGAAACUAUCUUGGUGGCACUUGCAUCAAUGUUGUGCUCUGCCCUUGUAUAUGUCCUUGGAGAAGAUGACCAUUGGACUGUAGGGGACGAACAACCUUGUCCUGCUCGAGGAGGAGGAGGAUGGCCACCCUGAGCUCGAGGACGACACGACAACAGGAGCACUCACCUCCCUACUAAGGUGAAGGUCCGAUCCGCCUGUUUAGAUGGUCUGCUCUUGUCUUGUGAUCUGAGGGGAGAAGAAAGCCAUUGGCCUCAAUUAUAUUUGCAUGUGAGGGGAGCGAUCCUUUUGGUAGAUGCAGAGUAUAGAUUACAUAUUCCACAAAACUCACCACACGAGUAUACUAACUAUAUCCACAAAAUUCACCACACGAGCAUACUACCUAUGUCCAAAUGUGGGUUUGAUACUUUCGACAUGAAACAUGAAUAUCAGGUUGGGAGUUUGGAGUUUAAUCAAAUAACGCAGCAAGGCGAUCAUCGGUAGGGAUGCACCUUUGAGGCGGCAAGGAGGGCUUCUCAAAGGCAGUACACAUGGCUUAUUACUGCUUGUAUGUGAGUACGCAGAUGUGGCGUCUAUGGAUAGAGGGUUAGGGGCGCAACGCAAGCGGCAGUAGGGGAUACACAACCUGAUUUGAUUUGGUCAAUCACGGGAAAUGGGAGAAGGCCUAGGGUGCAAAGUUUAGAUCGGUGGGUUGGUAGCGUUAGGCAUAAUAGAGAUCAAACCUUUUUCAUAGGCGUAUGUAGGUUAUUUCCUUGAAGCAUUUUAUCAAAAUGGUGUAGGCGGGUAAUAUCUCUCAACUUAAAUGUGAAGGGGAUAUAUUAUUUCCUUGUAGAGGCCGAGGAAUACAUGGCGUACCGCUACAUAUGCAACCAUGAUUUUUUGUGGAUGGUUACGAGAGAACCUGAAAGAUACCAUGGACCGAAGCAUGGGCACAUGAAGUUCCUGUUGGGGAACGUAGUAAUUUCAAAAAAAUUCCUACGCACACGCAAGAUCAUGGUGAUGCAUAGCAACGAGAGGAGAGAGUAUGAUCUACGUACCCUUGUAGAUCGACAACGGAAGCGUUAACUUGGUUGAUGUAGUCGUACGUCUUCACGGCCCGGCCGAUCAAGCACCGAAACUACGGCACCUCCGAGAUCUAGCACACAUUCAGCUCGAUGACGAUCCCCGGACUCCGAUCCAGCAAAGUGUCGGGGAAGAGUUCCGUCAGCACGACGGCGUGGUGACGAUAUUGAUGUACUACCGUCGCAGGGCUUCGCCUAAGCACCGCUACAAUAUUAUCGAGGACUAUGGUGGAAGGGGGCACCGCACACGGCUAAGAAUAUGAUCACAUGGAUCAACUUGUGUCUCUAGGGGUGCUCCCUGCCUCCGUAUAUAAAGGCUCAAAGGGGGAGGGGUGGCCGGCCAAGAGGAGGCGCGCCAGGAGGAGUCCUACUCCCUCCAGGAGUAGGACUCCCCCCCUUUCCUAAUUGGAAUAGGAUUCGCGGAGGGGGGAAAGAGGAGAGAGAGGAGGAAGGGGGGGGCGACCCCCUCUCCUUGUCCUAUUUGGACCAAAGGGGGGAGGGGCGCGCGGCCCAUAUCUGGCCACCUCUCCUCUCUUCCACUAAGGCCCACUAAGGCCCAUAUACCUCCCGGGGGGUUCCGGUAACCUCCCGGUAAUCCGGUAAAAUCCCGAUUUCACCCGGAACACUUCCGAUAUCCAAAUAUAGGCUUCCAACAUAUCAAUCUUUAUGUCUCGACCAUUUCGAGACUCCUCGUCAUGUCCGUGAUCACAUCCGGGGCUCCGAACAAACUUCGGUACAUCAAAAUGCAUAAACUCAUAAUAUAACUGUCAUCGAAACCUUAAGCGUGCCGACCCUACGGGUUCGAGAACAAUGUAGACAUGACCGAGACACGUCUCCGGUCAAUAACCAAUAGCGGCACCUGGAUGCUCAUAUUGGAUCCUACAUAUUCUACGAAGAUCUUUUAUCGGUCAGACCGCAUAACAACAUACGUUGUUCCCUUUGUCAUCGGUAUGUUACUUGCCCGAGAUUCGAUCAUCGGUAUCCAAUACCUAGUUCAAUCUCGUUACCGGCAAGUCUCUUUACUCGUUCCGUAAUCCAUCAUCCCGCAACUAACUCAUUAGUCGCAAUGCUUGUAAGGCUUAUGUGAUGUGCAUUACCGAGAGGACCCAGAGAUACCUCUCCGACAAUCGGAGUGACAAAUCCUAAUCUCGAAAUACGCCAACCCAACAUGUACCUUUGGAGACACCUGUAGAGCUCCUUUAUAAUCACCCAGUUACGUUGUGACGUUUGGUAGCAUAAAAAGUGUUCCUCCGGCAAACGGGGGUUGCAUAAUCUCAUAGUCAUAGGAACAUGUAUAAGUCAUGAAGAAAGCAAUAGCAACAUACUAAACGAUCGGGUGCUAAGCUAAAGGAAUGGGUGAUGUCAAUCAGAUCAUUCAUCUAAUGAUGUGAUCCUGUUAAUCAAAUGACAACUCUUUGUCCGUGUUUAGGAAACAUAACCAUCUUUGAUUAACAAGCUAGUCUAGUAGAGGCAUACUAGUGACACUCUGUUUGUCUAUGUAUUCACGCAUGUAUUAUGUUUCCGGUUAAUACAAUUCUAGCAUGAAUAAUAAACUUUUAUCAUGAUAUAUAAGGAAAUAAAUAAUAACUUUAUUAUUGCCUCUAGGGCAUAUUUCCUUCAGUCUCCCACUUGCACUAGAGUCAAUAAUCUAGAUUACACAGUAAUGAUUCUAACACCCAUGGAGCCUUGGUGCUGAUCAUGUUUUGCUCGUGGAAGAGGCUUAGUCAACGGGUCUUCUACAUUCAGAUCCGUAUGUAUCUUGCAAAUCUCUAUGUCUCCCACCUGGACUAGAUCCCGGAUGGAAUUGAAGCGUCUCUUGAUGUGCUUGGUUCUCUUGUGAAAUCUGGAUUCCUUUGCCAAGGCAAUUGCACCAGUAUUGUCACAAAAGAUUUUCAUUGGACCCGAUGCACUAGGUAUGACACCUAGAUCGGAUAUGAACUCCUUCAUCCAGACUCCUUCAUUCGCUGCUUCCGAAGCAGCUAUGUAUUCCGCUUCACAUGUAGAUCCCGCCACGACGCUCUGUUUAGAACUGCACCAACUGACAGCUCCACCAUUUAAUGUAAACACGUAUCCGGUUUGCGAUUUAGAAUCAUCCGGAUUAGUGUCAAAGCUUGCAUCAACGUAACCAUUUACGAUGAGCUCUUUGUCACCUCCAUAUACAAGAAACAUAUCCUUAGUCCUUUUCAGGUACUUCAGGAUGUUCUUGACCGCUGUCCAGUGAUCCACUCCUAGAUUACUUUGGUACCUCCCUGCUAGACUUAUAGCAAUGCACACAUCAGGUCUGGUACACAGCAUUGCAUACAUGAUAGAGCCUAUGGCUGAAGCAUAGGGAACAUCUUUCAUUUUCUCUCUAUCUUCUGCAGUGGUCGGCCAUUGAGUCUGACUCAACUUCACACCUUGUAACACAGGCAAGAACCCUUUCUUUGCUUGAUCCAUUUUGAACUUCUUCAAAAUUUUGUCAAGGUAUGUGCUUUGUGAAAGUCCAAUUAAGCGUCUUGAUCUAUCUCUAUAGAUCUUUAUGCCUAAUAUGUAAGCAGCUUCACCAAGGUCUUUCAUUGAAAAACUCUUAUUCGAGUAUCCCUUUAUGCUAUCCAGAAAUUAUAUAUCAUUUCCAAUCAGUAAUAUGUCAUCCACAUAUAAUAUCAUAAAUGCUACAGAGCUCCCACUAACUUUCUUGUAAAUACAGGCUUCUCCAAAGGUCUGUAUAAAACCAAAUGCUUUGAUCACACUAUCAAAGCGUUUAUUCCAACUCCGAGAGGCUUGCACCAGUCCAUAAAUGGAUCACUGGAGCUUGCACAGUUUGUUAGCUCCCUUUGGAUCGACAAAACCUUCCGGUUGCAUCAUAUAAAACUCUUCUUCCAGAAAUCCAUUCAGGAAUGCAGUUUUGACAUCCAUCUGCCAAAUUUCAUAAUCAUAAAAUGCGGCAAUUGCUAACAUGAUUCGGACAGACUUAAGCAUCGCUACGGGUGAGAAGGUCUCAUCGUAGUCAACCCCUUGAACUUGUCGAAAACCUUUUGCGACAAGUCAAGCUUUGUAGACAGUAAUAUUACCGUCAGCGUCAGUCUUCUUCUUGAAGAUCCAUUUAUUCUCAAUUGCUUGCCGAUCAUCGGGCAAGUCAACCAAAGUCCAUACUUUGUUCUCAUACAUGGAUCCCAUCUCAGAUUUCAUGGCUUCAAGCCAUUUUUCGGAAUCUGGGCUCACCAUCGCUUCUUCAUAGUUCGUAGGUUCAUCAUGAUCUAGUAGCAUGACUUCCAGAACAGGAUUACCGUACCACUCUGGCGCGGAUCUUACUCUGGUUGAUCUACGAGGUUCAGUAGUAUCUUGUUCUGAAGUUUCAUGAUCAUUAUCAUUAGCUUCCUCACUAAUUGGUGUAGGUGUCGCAAAAACAGGUUUCUGUUAUGUGCUACUUUCCAAUAAGGGAGCAGGUACAGUUACCUCGUCAAGUUCUACUUUCCUCCCACUCACUUCUUUCGAGAGAAACUCCUUCUCUAGAAAGGAUCCAUUCUUAGCAACGAAUGUCUUGCCUUCGGAUCUGUGAUAGAAGGUGUACCCAACAGUCUCCUUUGGGUAUCCUAUGAAUACACAUUUCUCCGAUUUCGGUUCGAGCUUAUCAGGUUGAAGCUUUUUCACAUAAGCAUCGCAGCCCCAAACUUUAAGAAACGACAACUUUGGUUUCUUGCCAAACCAUAGUUCAUAAGGUGUCAUCUCAACGGAUUUUGAUGGCGCCCUGUUUAACGUGAAUGCGGCUGUCUCUAAAGCAUAACCCCAAAAUGAUAGCGGUAAAUUUGUAAGAGACAUCAUAGAUCGCACCAUAUCAAGUAAAGUACGAUUACGACAUUCGGACACACCAUUACGCUGAGGUGUUCCGGGUGGCGUGAGUUGCAAAACUAUUCCGCAUUGUUUCAGAUGUAGACCAAACUCGUAACUCAAAUAUUCUCCUCCACGAUCAGAUCGCAGAAACUUUAUUUUCUUGUUACGAUGAUUUUCAACUUCACUCUGAAAUUCUUUGAACUUUUCAAAUGUUUCAGACUUAUGCUUCAUUAAGUAGAUAUACCCAUAUCUGCUUAAAUCAUCUGUGAAGGUGAGAAAAUAACGAUAUCCGCCACGAGCCUCAACAUUCAUCGGACCACAUACAUCUGUAUGUAUGAUUUCCAACAAAUCUGUUGCUCUCUCCAUUGUAUCGGAGAAUGGUGUUUUAGUCAUCUUGCCCAUGAGGCACGGUUCGCAGGUACCAAGUGAUUCAUAAUCAAGAGGUUCCAAAAGUCCAUCUGUAUGGAGUUUCUUCAUGCGCUUUACACCGAUAUGACCUAAACGGCAGUGCCACAAAUGAGUUGCCCUAUCAUUAUCAACUCUGCAUCUUUUGGCUUCAACAUUAUGAAUAUGUGUGUUACUACUAUCGAGAUUCAUCAAAAAUAGACCACUCUUCAAAGGUGCAUGACCAUAAAAGAUAUCACUCAUAUAAAUAGAACAACCAUUAUUCUCUAAUUUAAAUGAAUAACCGUCUCGCAUUAAACAAGAUCCAGAUAUAAUGUUCAUGCUCAAUGCUGGCACCAAAUAACAAUUAUUUAGGUCUAAUACUAAUCCCGAAGGUAGAUGUAGAGGUAGCGUGCCGACCGCGAUCACAUUGACUUUAGAACCAUUUCCCACGCGCAUCGUCACCUCGUCCUUUGCCAGUGUUCGCUUAAUCCGUAGUCCCUGUUUCAAGUUGCAAAUAUUAGCAACAGAACCAGUAUCAAAUACCCAGGUGCUACUGCGAGCUCUAGUAAGGUACACAUCAAUAACAUGUAUAUCACUUAUACCUUUGUUCACCUUGCCAUCCUUCUUAUCCGCCAAAUACUUGGGGCAGUUCCGCUUCUAGUGACCAGUCUGCUUGCAUUAGAAGCACUCAAUUUCAGGCUUAGGUCCAGACUUGGGUUUCUUCUCCUGAUCAACAACUUGCUUGCUUUUCUUCUUGAAGUUCCCCUUCUUCUUCCCUUUGCCCUUUUUCUUGAAACUAGUGGUCUUGUUGACCAUCAACACUUGAUGCUCCUUCUUGAUUUCUACCUCCGCAGCUUUUAGCAUUGCGAAGAGCUCGGGAAUAGUCUUAUUCAUCCCUUGCAUAUUAUAGUUCAUCACAAAGCUCUUGUAGCUUGGUGGCAGUGAUUGGAGAAUUCUGUCAAUGACGCAAUCAUCUGGAAGAUUAACUCCCAUCUGAAUCAAGUGAUUAUUAUACCCAGACAUUUUGAGUAUAUGCUCACUGACAGAACUGUUCUCCUCCAUCUUGCAGCUAUAGAACUUAUUGGAGACUUCAUAUCUCUCAAUCCAGGCAUUUGCUUGAAAUAUUAACUUCAACUCCUGGAACAUCUCAUAUGCUCCAUGACGUUCAAAGCGUCGUUGAAGUCUCUAAGCCGUAAAGCAUGGCACACUGAACUAUCGAGUAGUCAUCAGCUUUGCUCUGCCAGACGUUCAUAACAUCUGGUGUUGCUCCAGCAGCAGGCCUGGCACCCAGCGGUGCUUCCAGGACGUAAUUCUUCUAUGCAGCAAUGAGGAUAAUCCUCAAGUUACGGACCCAGUCCGUGUAAUUGCUACCAUCGUCUUUCAACUUUGCUUUCUCAAGGAACGCAUUAAAAUUUAACGGAACAACAGCACGGGCCAUUUAUCUACAAUUAACAUAAACAAGCAAGAUACUAUCAGGAACUAAGUUCAUGAUAAAUUUAAGUUCAAUUAAUCAUAUUACUCAAGAACUCCCACUUAGAUAGACAUCCCUCUAAUCAUCUAAACCAUAACCGAUCAUCACGUGAAAUGGAGUAGUUUUCAGUGGUGAACAUCGCUAUGUUGAUCAUAUCUACUAUAUGAUUCACGCACGAUCUUUCGAUCUCAGUGUUCCGAGGCCAUAUCUGCAUAUGCUAGGCUCGUCAAGUUUAACCUGAGUAUUCUGCGUGUGCAAAACUGGCUUGCACCCGUUGUAGAUGGACGUAGAGCUUAUCACACCCGAUCAUCACGUGGUGUCUGGGCACAACAAACUUUGGCAACGGUGCAUACUCGGGGAGAACACUUUUAUCUUGAAAUUUAGUGAGAGAUCAUCUUAUAAUGCUACCGUCAAUCAAAGCAAGAUAAGAUGCAUAAAAGAUAAACAUCACAUGCAAUCAAUAUAAGUGAUAUGAUAUGGCCAUCAUCAUCUUGUGCUUGUGAUCUCCAUCCUCGAAGCACCAUCGUGAACACCAUUGUCACCAGCGCGACACCUUGAUCUCCAUCAUAGCAUCAUUGUCAUCUUGCCAAUCUUAUGCUUCUACGACUAUCGCUACCGCUUAGUGAUAAAGUAAAGCAUUACAGGGCGAUUGCGUUGCAUACAAUAAAGCGACAACCAUAUGGCUCCUGCCAGUUGCCGAUAACUCGGUUACAAAACAUGAUCAUCUCAUACAAUAAAAUUUAGCAUCAUGUCUUGACCAUAUCACAUCACAACAUGCCCUGCAAAAACAAGUUAGACGUCCUCUACUUUGUUGUUGCAAGUUUUACGUUGCUGCUGCGGGCUUAAGCAAGAACCAAUCUUACCUACGCAUCAAAACCACAAUGAUAGUUUGUCAAGUUGGUGCUGUUUUAACCUUCGCAAGGACCGGGCGUAGCCACACUCGGUUCAACUAAAGUUGGAGAAACUGCCACCCGCAAGCCACCUAUGUGCAAAGCACGUCGGGAGAACCGGUCUCGCGUAAGCGUACGCGUAAUGUCGGUCUGGGCCGCUUCGUCCAGCAAUACCGCCGAACCAAAGUAUGACAUGUUGGUAAGCAGUAUGACUUAUAUCGCCCACAACUCACUUGUGUUCUACUCGUGCAUAUAACAUCAACAUAUAAAACCUAGGCUCGGAUGCCACUGUUGGGGAACGUAGUAAUUUCAAAAAAAUUCCUACGCACACGCAAGAUCAUGGUGAUGCAUAGCAACGAGAGGGGAGAGUAUGAUCUACGUACCCUUGUAGAUCGACAACGAAAGCGUUAACUUCGUUGAUGUAGUCGUACGUCUUCACGGCCCGACCGAUCAAGCACUGAAACUACGGCACCUCCUAGUUCUAGCACACAUUCAGCUUGAUGAUGAUCCCCGGACUCCGAUCCAGCAAAGUGUCGGGGAAGAGUUCCGUCAGCACGACGGCGUGGUGACGAUCUUGAUGUACUACCGUCGCAGGGCUUCGCCUAAGCACCACUACAAUAUUAUCGAGGACUAUGGUGGAAGGGGGCACCGCACACGGCUAAGAAUAUGAUCACGUGGAUCAACUUGUGUCUCUAGGGGUGCUCCCUGCCUCCGUAUAUAAAGGCUCAAAGAGGGGGGCGGCCGGCCAAGAGGAGGCGCGCCAGGAGGAGUCCUACUCCCUCCGGGAGUAGGACUCCCCCCUUUCCUAAUUGGAAUAGGAUUCGCGGAGGGGGGAAAGAGGAGAGAGAGGAGGAAGGGGGGCCGGCCCCCUCUCCUUGUCCUAUUCGGACCACAGGGGGGAGGGGCGCGCGACCCAUCUCUGGCCACCUCUCCUCUCUUCCACUAAGGCCCACUAAGGCCCAUAUACCUCCCGGGGGGUUCCGGUAACCUCCCGGUAAUCCGGUAAAAUCCCUAUUUCACCCGGAACACUUCCGAUAUCCAAAUAUAGGCUUCCAACAUAUCAAUCUUUAUGUCUCGACCAUUUCGAGACUCCUCGUCAUGUCCGUGAUCACAUCUGGGACUCCGAACAAACUUCGGUACAUCAAAAUGCAUAAACUCAUAAUAUAACUGUCAUCGAAACCUUAAGCGUGCGGACCCUACGGGUUCGAGAACAAUGUAGACAUGAACGAGACACGUCUCCGGUCAAUAACCAAUAGCGGAACCUGGAUGCUCAUAUUGGCUCCUACAUAUUCUACGAAGAUCUUUUAUCAGUCAGACUGCAUAAGAACAUACGUUGUUCCCUUUGUCAUCGGUAUGUUACUUGCCCGAGAUUCGAUCGUCGGUAUCCAAUACCUAGUUCAAUCUCGUUACCGGCAAGUCUCUUUACUCGUUCCGUAAUCCAUCAUCCCGCAACUAACUCAUUAGUCGCAAUGCUUGCAAGGAUUAUGUGAUGUGCAUUACCGAGAGGGCCCAGAGAUACCUCUCCGACAAUCGGAGUGACAAAUCCUAAUCUCGAAAUAUGCCAACCCAACAUGUACCUUUGGAGACACCUAUAGAGCUCCUUUAUAAUCACCCAGUUACGUUGUGGCGCUUGGUAACACACAAAGUGUUCCUCCGGCAAACUGGAGUUGCAUAAUCUCAUAGUCAUAGGAACAUGUAUAAGUCAUGAAGAAAGCAAUAGCAACAUACUAAACGAUCGGGUGCUAAGCUAAUGGAAUGAGUCAUGUCAAUCAGAUCAUUCAUCUAAAGAUGUGAUCCUGUUAAUCAAAUGACAACUCUUUGUCCAUGGUUAGGAAACAUAACCAUCUUUGAUUAACAAGCUAGUCUAGUAGAGGCAUACUAGUGACAAUCUGUUUGUCUAUGUAUUCACACAUGUAUUAUGUUUCCGGUUAAUACAAUUCUAGCAUGAAUAAUAAACUUUUAUCAUGAUAUAUAAGGAAAUAAAUAAUAACUUUAUUAUUGCCUCUAGGGCAUAUUUCCUUCAGUUCCAACACCGAAGGGUAAGGAGACGGGCCCGCGUCAUUUACGUCCGGAAUAUGCGACCUUGAUUCUUUGUCGAUGGUGAUGCCAAGACUAUAGGAUAAGGUGGAUCCGGACACAUGAGCAGAUGAAGUGCCUGACACGAAGUUGGUUAAGGAGCUGGACCCAAGUCAUCUACACCGCAAAUUGGUCGAAGGUGUGCCGUGAAUGAUAGAUGUACUUGAGGGGGGAGAAAGCCUGUGAAAAGAACAUACGGUUGCUCGAUGAUGACACAUGUCUUGAGAGGAUGGCGAGAACCCUAGAUAUGGUUAAGGCACGCCACGAGAACAUCACCCCGGUCGCGAGAUUCUCAGUGGUGUGCGGCAACCGAAGCCAAAAGGGCACCCCCGCAAGACCUUGAAAUGCCAGAGCGGUGGGCGCACAAGCAAUGGUGAGGAAAAUCACAUAAGGUACCAAGCAAGGCCAUCCUGAUCAGGGCUCCAUUGCCAAGCUUAUGUCCACCACUGCGAUUCAGACAAACUUUCAACUGGCGUCUCUGUCUUCUCAAGAUUUCCAUGGUCCCAUCAGGAUGUAUAUAUGUACUUUGUUUAUUUUGAAAAUUAAUAUAUCACCAAAGAAAUUGUAGUACUUGUCAUUCUUUUAAUUACUUAGUAGUUUGCAUGAUAGACUCAAUCUUAUAUUUACUAAUUAGAGGCACCAAAUAAGCGACCACGUUAAUCCUCAAAAACUAAGAAUAUUAUCCAUCCGAUCUCCAUAUUAAGUAUCUGUAGCCGUCCAUUGGACAACUCAAGAGUCCUGGGUUACUAUCCCACGUCAUGCUCCAUGUAAUGUGAAAAAAAAAUCAUCUCCUUGGCCAAAUCCAUCCCACGUCAUGCUCCAUGUAAUGUGAAAAAAAGCAUCUCCCUGGCCAAAUUCUUCCUCCCCUGAUCUAUCAUGUGAGGCACUUGCGCAUCAUCCACAAAUCCCUAGCGCAAAUCCAUCCCACGUCAUGCUCCAUGUAAUGUGAAAAAAAUCAUCUCCCUGGCCAAAUUCUUCCUCCCCCGAUCUAUCAUGUGAGGCACUUGCGCAUCAUCCACAAAUCCCUAGCGCUGCUCUUCCAGGUCGUCCUCCUCCUUCCUAUCUUUUGUUGUCUUAAUGCAAAACGAUUCCGUGAGAUCCUUGUGAUCCUCUUCAUCUUCACGUAGAAAUCUGAACUGUCCCAACCACGCUGCAGAUCUGUGGUCCGUCUUGGACAAAGAGAAGGCCCUUUCAAUCUCCACAGAUGCCAUGCCCCAACCAAACCGCAACCCAUGAUAAACGAUGUUGUUGAGAAGGAGGCGCUACCUAAGUCUGAUCGGACAUAUGCCAUUGUUAGGGAAGCUACAAGUCGAAGAACUAUGGUAGACUGAUUGCGAGUAAUUAAGGAGCUAUCAACGAUCCAGUAGGUUUUUGUUAUUAGGAAUUUUUAUGUAGUGCGACUUGAUCUCAAAGAACAAGUACACCAUUAGAGUUCGUUUUGGAGGAUUUUGAUGAUGUGCGCUUAGUUACAGACUUAUCUAAAUACGUAUAACUAGGAUGGACAAUAUUUGUAGGAGCCAUACAAUCCAAUUAGGGGAUUUAGUUUGUCAAAGAUGUUUCCACAUAUCCCUAGCGCUGCUCUUCUAGGUUGCCCCCUGCUUCCUAUCUACGGUCUUCAAGUAAAGCGAUUUAAUGAGUCUCUUGCUGCAGAAAUUUCAACUGCCACAAGAAGGCUGCAGACCUGCGGUUCAUCUUGGCUGAGGUGUCAUACAAUCCAGUUAAGGGAUUCCAUUCAUUGAAGAUGUGGCUGUACUUUCGCACAACAAACUCAAGCACAUCUUCUUAUGUUCUUAGAAACUAGAUGAGUUGUUUUGGACUUUCUUUGGUCUACUCCUCUAUGCUUCUUAUUGGGAAAGUUAGUAUGCAAAAGUUAUGCCCAUCUUCUUAAAUUCGGAUGUAACUUUUCGAGUAGAUGAUUUUUCAUAUAAAAAACUUUUUCAUCCGAGUUAGUAUGCAAAAGUUAUGCCCAUUUUUACAAAUUUCAGAGAGAUUUUGCAAAUAAAGUGAAAAUUCAGAUUUGCAAAUUUUCCCAACAAGUAGACCACAUAUCACAUGGGAAACUUAUUUUCUUUUAUUUUUUUUGACAUUUCCAUCAUUUUCUUUUAUUUUUUUAAAACUGAAAAGGCGAUCCACAUGGGGGGGGGUAGAGUUUGAAAAUGGGACCUUUAGUACUGGUUCGUGGCACGAACCGGGACUAAAGGUCUCAACCCCAUUAGUCCCGGUUCAUGCCUCAAACCGGGACUAAAGGUCUAAUCGUUAGUCCCGGUUUGAGGCACGAACCGGGACCAAUGGUUUUGUGCCAGGAGCGAGGCCCAUUGGUCCCGGUUCAUCCCACCAACCGGGACCAAAAGGUCCAGAUGAACCGGGACCAAUGGCCCACGUGGCCCGGCCGGCCCCCUGGGCUCACGAACCGGGACCAAUGCCCCCGUUGGUCCCGGUUCUGGACUGAACCGGGACUAAUGGGCUGACCCGGCCUGGACCAAAGCCCUGUUUUCUACUAGUGAGUCCAAUCUUGUGUUUAUUCCUCCAUGUCGGCAAAGAGUCAGUAGUCAAUCACCAAGCAAAAUUGCGCACAGUGGGGGGUACAUCACAUCUCCAUAUAUAUUGCCAGCAUUUUCUACUACCAUCUGGCGAUGUGCUAGAUGCCUCUACAGUAUUUCUGUGAGCUACUUCAAAAGCCAGCAUAUAUGCUGAUUUGACCGUGAAGACAUCGAGCUUCCCCGGCCCCCAUGCAAUCACAUCCUCACCUAAUCUUGGAGAUGCCCAUAUCUUUAAGAUUUCUUCCACAUCAGCUGAUAAGAAGUACUGCUGAAGAAGUACCAAGUUCCAAGAACCAUUAUCAUUUAGCAAGUCGGAGACAAAACGAAUGCGACAUCUUCCCUGCAGCGACACAGGUUUGUACGAAAAGGGCCUUGGAAUCCAGUUAUCUCUCCCCUUUGUUGGUAGUCAGAGUCACUAGGACAACUAACUGUGUUAGCAUCUAGAGUUGUAACAAGCCACAGUCCGCCUAUCUUGGUUGCACAGCGAUGAUGCUACCAUCUCCUACGACAAAGUACAUGCCUUGCACCGGAAACAGCGCAACCAUAUGACAUCUAUCCGAGUGGGCGACCACGUGGUGACCGGGCAUGAGGCCAUGGCUGAGGCCGCCUACAACCACUUCUCCGAUGUGCUCGGAAGUGCCAUGGAGCAUGACAUCACGCUUGAUCUCCGCGUUUUGCGUGUUCAACACAAUGCUACUCCGUGCGGUGGACCUAGGCCUUCUUCGACGCCUUACAACUCGGCACGCGGCCUCGAGUAUAUCGCUAUACGCGGACGAUGUUGUCAUCUUUUGUCACCCGGAUAGCCACCACAUUACCACCGUGUGAACCAUCCUACACAUAUUCGGGCUUCAUACAAACUUCGCCAAGUGUUCUGCCACCCCGAUCCGGUGCGAUGAUGACAACAACAUGAUGAUCACAUCUGAGAUGCAGUGCCCCAUAGCCCAAUUCCCCAUCACAUACCUCGGUUUGCCUCUCUCUAUCUGCAAGGCCUCCACGACUAGCUUGCUCCCAAUCAUUGACAAGAUCGGCCACAAGCUCUCCACUUGGCAUGCUUCCAUGAUGUCCAACGGGCAACGGCGACUGCCUUGCUCUCGUGCAUCACGUACUUAGUGCUAUCCCGACAUACUUCCUCACCACCUUUGCUCUCAACCAAUCCAUCCUCGUGAAAUUCAACCGCAUCAUCCGCGGAUUCCUUUGGGCGGGAGGCACCGAAGGCAAUGGGGGUCAGUGUCAUGUUAACUGACAGCAAGUUUGCAGGCCAAUCUCUCUUGGCGGUCUUAGCAUCAGGGACAUUCAAAGGACCGGCAUCACCCUCUGUGCAUGGUUGCUUUGGUUACAGUGCACCGACCCCUUGCAACCCUCGAGCCACUUACACAUACCUCACGACCCAGACGUGACUGCCAUCUUCAGCGCAUCUAGGACCUGGGAUCUUGGGUCCGGCGUCACCUGCAGAUUCUGGUCCGACCACUUGAUAGAGGGUAGAUCCGUGGUUGAGAUCCCCCCAGUCCUCGCCUCGUCCCUCGACGCCGACGCAAGACUCGCACCGUUCACGAGGGCCUCCACCUUAGAGCCUGGGUGCAAGAGAUUCAUGGAGCACUCGGACCGACGGCCAUGUUGCAAUAUGUUGAUCUUGAGCGACGUGUGCGCCACAUUGACCAGAUGAGCCGGAUACACUCAAAUGGCGCUGGACCGCCUCCGCUAUGAAAUGUCUAUGAUGGGAGAAUUUAAAUUCUUCUUAGGCCUUCAAAUUCUUCAACAGCGCAAUGGCAUCUUCAUAUUUCAGGAGAAAUACCUCAAGGAUGUAUUGUGGAAAUUCGGCAUGAAAGAUUGCAAAGGCGUCAAAAUCCCUAUGCCCACAAAUGGCCAUCUAUGCACUGAUGAAAAUGGUAUUGACUUUGAUCAAAAGGUAUACCGCUCCAUGAUUGGUUCUUUAUUGUAUUUAUGUGCAUCUAGGCCAGAUAUUAUGCUCAGUGUUUGCAUGUGUGCCCGAUUUCAACCUACACUGAAGGAAUCACACCAUAAGGCUGUGAAGCAUAUUCUUCGUUAUCUAGCUCACACACCAACACUUGGAUAUGGUAUCCCAAGGGCUCGGCUUUUGAUCUCAUUGGGUACUCACUCUGACUAUGCGGGUGAUCCUGUGGACCGCAAGUCAACAUCAGGCACAUGCCAUUUCCUCAGGCGAUCCUUGGUCUGUUGGUCCUCGAAGAAACAGAACUGCGUAUCACUGUCUACUGCUGAAGCUGAGUACAUUGCUGCUGGUUCUUGCUGUUCUCAAUUUCUAUGGAUGAAUCAAACCCUCAAGGACUACUACGUCAAUGUAAAGAAUGUGCCUCUCUACUAUGACAAUGAGAGUGCCAUCAAGAUUGCUCAUAACCCACUUCAGCAGUCGAAGACAAAGCACAUUCAAAUUUGUCAUCAUUUUCUUCGUGAUCAUGUGUUGAAGGGCGACAUUUCUAUUGAGCAUGUGAAGACUGGAGAACGGCUAGCCGGUAUCUUCACAAAGCCUUUGGAUGAGAAGAGAUUUAGCAAGUUGCGGUGUGAGCUAAAUAUCCUAGAAUCUUCGAAUGUCCUUUGAAAAGGACACACAUCCUAACACUUGUGCAAAGUUGAUGACUUAGACGUGCAACACACGAAGAAACGUUUUUCUUCAUUCAAUGAAGAUUAACACUCUAAGUGUGAAGAAAUUAACAAAGAAUUUGAUUCUCAGAGCCCUUCGACAAUUGUACAUGGUGUUUGAAAUCAUCAUUCUUAUACGGUGGGUCACGCCACCACCAAAAGUUGAAAAUCUUGAAUUUGAGUUUUUACUCAUUUUUGAAUUUCCUCAGUUGUUCAAAUUCUUCAACCCAUCCCACCUUAUCUUCUCAUACCCACUCCCCCCAAUUCCCUCUCUAUCUCUCCCGCAACCUCCCUUGCGCGGACGCCGCCAAACCACCACCUCCCCUGUGCCGCCGCGCCGCGACCUCCUCUGCGCCGCCGCGCCGCAACCUCCUCUCUGCGGCCGAGUCUGCUCCCCGGCGAUUCCCGAUCCACAACUGCCCCCAUUGCCCUUGCCUUCCUCUGCGCGCCGCCGCUCUAGGUCGCGUCCACCGCGUUCCACCACCACCAGCACAUCAGUACGGCGGUAGUGCGGCCCCGCUUCCGUUCCUCCAUGGCCGACCCCCUACCUCCCACCUUCUCCCUCCCGCCCCGAUCGACAACCUCCAUCACCGCCCCGGUCGUGUUGCCCCUCCCGACCCCGCGCCGCCGGAUCCGGGCAACCACGCCGGCGUGCCCUUCCACAAGCUUUCCCGUCGUGACCCUACCACGAGCUGCUCCAGCCCGACCCUGCUUCUUUAACAACGGCACGGUGGCAACUCCCCUUAGUUCACUCCUGCACCGGGGUCGCGAGCUCCGUUCACGGGCUCGCUGGAUCUCGUGAUUGGGGCGCUGGCGACGUGCUCUCCUACUCCACCGCGCCCCUCCUCUACUUCAGCUCCUAUGCCUGUGCCUCUCGUGGACUCAUCGGCGCACAGGCCGCUCUGGAUCCACGCUGGUUCGAGGCCCUGACGGCCUCCUCUUCCUGCUAAGUCACCGAGAUCCAUCGGGGUAUCAAGUUGUUUUGUCGGCCCAAUACUCCUUCUACCUUCCCUUGCCGGCGGUCGUGCAACUUCGGUGAACACCGCUACUCGCGCGCGGAUGACGACGGCGCAGUGGCACUGCAGUUCGCUUUGCAGGGGAUCCGUUGAUGCGGCCGUGGAGUUCGGCCCACAGGUGCAUGAAGUUAUCUUGCCCCCUCCCACAGUUUACCCUUCCGCAUGAGCCCCAUGCCAUAGUCCAUUGGGAAGAAGCUCGUGGUGCGGAUGUGCGGAUGCUCAGUGACAGUGCUGGUGUGUUUCAGAUUUUGUUUUUCUGCAAUUUGUAGGCGACGCUGGAGCAUUGCAGUUCAUUGGCUCGGGGCGAGCAGUGGAGAGGACACACGUGCGUGCAGUUCCCUGUCCAUUGAAAAUGUAGAAGCCCAUCUUGCUGCAAUGUAUGUGAGCAUAUGGCCUGCAAGUGAUGCUCUUUUCCCAGAUUGAAAACAUUGCAAUGUGGUUGGCUGGCCAUCGACGUGCACUUCGCUUUGGGGGGCAGUACGUUCUUUGUGGACGCGCACUUCGUUCGGCCCGAGCGGCAUGAAGCUCCGUUUGCGCGCAUGUGUGGCUUGGCUAACUAGUUUGUGCAGUCGCAUGAUACCUUUAUUAUGUGAUGCCUCCCUAGUUGCUGGAGUUCACUUCUUUGUAUUUAUUGAAACAUCAUGUAGUGCACUGUGAAACUCUCUGUUGUUCACUUGUAAAAACAAAUAGCGGUUCCCUUUGUAAAAAAAAGUGCAGCCCCUUAGUGGUUCACCUUGUAGAAAAUGAGAAAGAAAUCCCCAUGGGAGGUUCACUUCUUUUUCUAAUGCAAUUUGUUUUGUUUGUGGGAUGAUUGAAAAAAGAAGUUCACUCCACUUGUUUAGCAGCUCAUACCCCUUUGUAUGAAAUGCAAUUUGUUUCGUGUGUCUCAAAAUCAGUCGACUACCUCAACACGUGCAAUGCGUUUGGUUUUUGGAUGUGGUUCAUUUUUUAGAGUGAUGUUGUUCACUUGUGCCGAACAUGAAAGCGCAAAAAAAAUUAGCAAAACAAUAAAAAUAGUAAUGCGGUUCACUACGAUAUAUGAUGUGGUUCACUUGCUCGCGUCUCUGCGGUCCACUCUUGUUCAUAAAAAUUGAAAAAAACAUCAAAAACUCGUCCGAGAAAAAUUUACAUCCGACAAAGGAAACCAUGAAGUUCACUUGCCUGCCUGAUGCAGUGCGGUUUCGUUCGAUGCAGUGCGGUUUUCUGUCGAAUGACGUUCACUCACCGAUUUGGGUGUCGCAAAAAAUAGUAUCUGCAUUUUCGUAAUUUUAAAAUUGCUUUUAAACCGUAAGGAAUUAGAGAGAGUGUUCUACAUGAAAAAGUUGCGUCUCGUCGAUAUUUUUCCAAUGCCAUAUCAUUUGAAUCAUUUUGACAAGCAGUUUGUAAAAAUUUCACAAAAAACGACCGCUGCCAGUCAUCGUCCGCCACACCAUUCUAAAAAUUAACUUAAAACCGUAGUGAAUCUCGAAACCAAUUCUACAUAUAAAAGUUGCGCCUUGUCCAUAGCUUUCCAACGACGUAUUACACGCCUCAUUUCGAUAAACGGUUCAAAAACUAGAGUGAAAACAGUAUCGAAAGUUGCAAAAAUUUCAAAAAAUGUAAUUUCGCGAUUUAGUAAAUUUGAAACUGCUCUUAAACCGAAAUGAAUUAGAGAAAAUAAUAGAUAUGGAAAAGAUGCGCCUCAAUGAUAUCUUUCCAACGGCGUCUCAUUUGCUUUAUUCUGAUGAGCGGUUUUGAAAAAAUCAAGAAAAUACGCUCGCUGCCACUCGUCAUCCGCAGCACCGUUUUUGAAACUGCUCUUAAACCGCGAGGAUCUCGAAAAGUGUUCAACAUGGCAAAGUUGCGCCUAAUCCAUAGCUUCUCCACGGUAUAUUACACGCGUCAUUCCGAUAAAUGGUUAAAAAAUUAGAGCGAAAAAACUACCAAAAAUACACAGCGUGUAGUUUUUUCGACACGAAGUUCACUCGCCUGAGUACUGCAGCACACUUGGUUCAAACAAUGACGUGCAGUUGCGUUGAGCGUGCACUUCGGAAGUGUUAUCAGAAUAACUAUUCUGUUAAUAUUAGCAUAAUAGACCGACUGUAUAUUAUUCUGUUACGCGUAACAGGAUAUUAUUCUGUUACCCUAUGGUGAAUUCAAGCAGUUGAACUGAUGCUUUCUGUUCCUAUUAAAAAUCGUCUUCUUUAGUUCAAAAGUUUUUGCAAUUUUUUUAUCAAAACAGGGCGUGUAAUAUAUCGCUGGAAAGCUCUUGACAUCUACAUUACAAUCUUGUAAUUUGUUUUUGCAAAAAAUUAUGAUUUACGAGCAGUUUUGAAAAACCCGUUUUUUUUCAAGCCGAAAACGCGAAUCGUAUUUUGGACUUAAUUUUCAAACGGUUUGUCGGAAUUGAGCAAAUGAGAUGGCAUUGGAAAGCUUGUGAAAAUCCGCAUCUUCUAUAUUUCUACUAUUUUUUCAAAUUCUAUAUGAUUUAAAAGUAAUUUGAAAAACGGUGAAAUUCUGGGCGAAAUGUUUUUUCACUAUUUUUUUGCAAACGGUUUGUAGGAUUGACACAAAUGAUAUGGUGUUGGAAAGCUAUGGAAAAUGCGCAAAUUUUGCAUAUAGAAAGUUUUUUCUAAUUCCUUACGAUUUAAAUACGAAUUCAAAUACAGUUAAAAUUGAUUUUGAACGUGUUUUUUAAAAAGUUUGUCGAAAUGGAGAAAAUAAUAUACCAUUGGAUAGCUAUCGAAAAUGCAAAACUUAGUCAUGUUGGACGUUUUCUCUACUUCACAACCAUUUAAGAGUAAUCUUCAAUACGGCAUGACGGAUCCUGCUGUUUUCUCGUCUGAAAAACAGAUUAGUCGUACUGAUAUAUGUGUAUGUUUGUACUGAGCUAUUUUUUGUAGAGUAAUUUUAAGUGGUUCCGAAAAAAUGUUCUUAUACUGAUGCUUGCGUGGUUUUGUACUAAACGUGUUUUCACUAACUAGACUUUGCUCUGUUUUUUCAUGAGACCCAUCAUGCUGUUUUUUCGUGAGAAAAAACAGAGUACUUGUACUGAUCUACAUGUGUGUUUGUACUGAUGUAUUCUUCGAAGAGUAAUUUUGAAAGGUUCCGAAAAAGGAGUACUUGAACUAAUGUCCGUAUGGGGUUGUACUGAGCGUUUUUUCACAGACUAGACUUUACUCUAUUCUUUUUACCGAAAAUUGUUUCAUCAAUUGUUCGCAAAUGAUAGUACGAACUAAGAUAUGUGUUGGUUUGUACUGAGCAUUUGUUUCAUCAUUUGUUCGCAAUUGAUAGUACGAAUGGAGCUUUGUUCAUUUUUAUACUGAGCAUUCUUGUCAGUGCCAGGAUCUCCGGAUUUAUGUUGUUUUGUUCUGCGAACUUCCUCAAAAUUUUAUUGGUAAAUCACACCAUUUUUUUCUUUUGCUAAAUUUUUGUCCUCUGAACUUGUGACGGAUGGAGUUUGUACUGAUAUGAAUCAUUUUGCCGAACCGCCACAAUUUUUUGUGUAUUGAAUCACUAUAUAACUUAGAACCAAAUUGUUUUUCUUAACAUAUAUUUGAAUUGUUUCUAUAUGUACAUUGAAUUGGGGAAGAGUAGCAAAAGUUAUACAUACUUUAUGGAUAGUAAUACAUGAAUUUCUUGGUAAACUGAAGAAUGUACUCUGGACCGUAAUACAUGUCCUCUCGAGUUUGUACUGAUGUGAAUCCUUUUGAACUUGCUCUCGACGGUAAUACAUGCCCUCUCGAGUUUGUAAUGAUGUGAAUCCAUUCGAACUUAUGUGGCUUACAUCAUUGAACGGACUCUAUUCUUCUCACUACCACCAUUGUUCUGUCCAUUUCUUUUCGGACUUGCAUGGCUUACAUCGUUGAACGGGCUUAGGUGGAUAUGUACUAAUGAACUACUGUGAUUUGUAGCUCUCAGGAAAUGGAAUCCUUUCUUUCCCUGUUAUUCUGAAUACCAAACAGCAAAAAAUGAGUUCUCAUAAGCACGAAAAAAUAUAUAUGUACCCCUAAAUUUUGCAGCUAUUUUGUCCUCUUUCAUUUUGAAAAAACAUACAAAAAGCAAAAGCACAAACUAUACAAAAGGUUUUAGACACCAAACCAGUAGAGAAUUAAAAAUAAGCAUCAGGCAGCAACUUGCUAAAGAUAGCACGAGUCAUAUACAUACGCAUUUCAUCCCAUUAUACUUCUCCACCCGCAUGGAAAGUGAGAGAACCUCCCUACAUGCAUAUACAGGCAUCAAACUCCCUCUGUACCUAAACUAUAUUUUUGUUUGAUAUAUAUUGUGAACUCCUCUUGUCGAUGUACAUGAACCUGCUGUGCAGAGAGAUGAAAUGUAGUACAUCAGUCUAGCUUCAUUCAGCUAGAGAGAAACAUGAAAAAAUGUUCAGUUUUUUGGACGGCUUUCCUCUUUUUCUUUGUCCAAUUCCGCGCCACGACUGCCACCAUCCUGCAUGCAAGCUUAAAAUUAAUUGAAGCCACCAAACAUGCACUUUCAUGAGACUUUGCUACUAUAAGUCAGCGAACAUAUCUUUAGUAUUAAACCAAAGGCACACUUAUUAACCAGCACUCUUGUUCAGUUCAGAGCAUCAUCAAUAAGAUAAAGAUACGGAAACAUUAAGCCAAUAUAGAACAACUGGAUUGAUUUGACUCAAAUUUUUACUUUCAAUGCAUUGUAGGCAACAGCCGAUCCAAGUCAGAACUGAUGUGAUUUAUUCCAUUGAACUGAUAUGAAAGUUUAUCUAUACUGUUCUGUUUUUUAACACACACGUUUUGAACUAUUCCCGCUUUUUUCAUUAUGAAUUGAUGACAUAAGACAUGUUGAACUGUUACACAAGAGCAAAAUUCAGAAAUACAUAACAAUGGUGUACUCAAAAUAUGUGCAUUUUAAGGAACAAAACUUUCUGAACCUUCUAUACGAAAAACUUCAACUAUCAGUCCAAAGAGAUUUGAAGUUAAACAAUCAUUUCCCUUACCGAGUGUUAAGGAAAACGAAACCAGAGAUGACCUCGCCGACAGUAGGAGUAGCGAUGGCUGCCAAGGCGACGCGUUGGUACAUGUACUAAACAUCUGCUCAAACCUGUUGUAACAUCUACUUCAAGCUUUUUCUAAAUCAUUGUUGGGAGUAGAGGGUUUUAAAAGAAAAUACAGAGUGCCAAAGAAAGAAAGGAACAACCUAUUUAUCUAAAGGACUGUGAUAUUUGGCACACGUGUGCCAUAUAAGCAAAACUGCCACACCUCUAUUUCUUUCAUUUUAAAGUACCAUACGAUCCCUCGUUCUUUGACCCCGCCUCUUCCCAAAUUACCCCGCAGGCUCGCCUGAGAAACCUGCUUCUCCCGCACAUCUCGGGCGCUUACCCCCGAGAAAACUGCCACUUCUUCACGUCUACCACAUGAUUUCUCCUUAGGACAAAGUUACCAUGAUAUUCAUAUGAAAGUUAUCAGGCCUGUGUUGCAUAACUUACCAUACUAUUUACAUAGAACGUAUCAGGUACUAUGCUUCAACAACUACACCCUUUCAAAGUUACCACUGUGUUUUGUACACAAGUUAUAAGGUCUUUGAUGUGUAAAAUACCGUGGUACUUACACAUAAGUUAUCAGGGUAUAUGUACAUCAACCUCCCCCCGGUCAAAGUUACCAUGGGGGAUUGUACAUGAGUUACCGGGUCUACGGUUCGUAUAUUAUCAUGGUACUAGCACCUAAAAACAUGGGUGUGUUUCGGUAGCUUUUCACAUAGGUCAAAAAUUACCAUGAUGUUUUUGCGUAACUUAUCACGCCUAUAGCACGUGUGCCCCUCGUGACACUAAACAUUAUGUGACUUUCCCGUGGCAUGCCAUGUGUUGUGUUCAUCCAAGAGGCCCACGCGCGAGGCAAGUGUAUGUUUUUAACAACUUAUAUAUUUUCCUUUGGUAAAAAAGUUAUCAUCAUGUUUAUAUUGCAAGUUAUCGGUUAUGCGGUGCUUAUAUUAUCAUGUUAUUUACACAAAAAUUAUUGGGGAUGUUUUGAACAACUUUUUCCCGAGGCAAAAAGUUAUCAUGGUGAUUCUAGGUAACCUAUCAAGCCCGUAGUGCUUAAAAUAUCAUGCUAUUUACAUAAAAUUUAUCAGGGAUAUGCUUCAGCAACAAAUUCCACCCCCCAUGGGUCAAAAAUCUAUCAUGGUGUUUAGUUAUCGCAGUGCAUAUGUUUUCAUACUAUUUACACAUAAAAAUGCCAGGGGAGGGAGGUAUACUACCGUGCUAUUUACAAAGAAGUUACCGGAGUAUCUUAAAAAAAUUGCCUACGGUCAAAGUUACCAUGGUGCUUCUACCUCAGUUAUCAGAUGUGCGCUGUGUAUAUUACCAUCUAUUUACACAUAAACUAUCAGGUAUCUUUUCACAUUUGUUUUCCCCAAUGGUUAAAGUUACCACGAUGUUUGUAUCUAAAUUAUCAGGUCUAUGGCGUGAAUGUUAUCGUACUAUUUACAGAAAUUACCGGAGGGCGGGUUCAACAAAUUUAUUCCCAAUGAUCAAAGUUACCACGAUGCUUGAAACAAAAAGUUGCUAACGUAUUAAAGGCAAAAACAUGUCAAAAACAGUAUUACCCUUAGAAUGUUCAACAAUGAGUAUCAUAGGUGAGGUGGUUAGCUCCCUUUGUUAAUUACCUGCAGACCAGAGAUCAAAUCCUAGUAUAAGCAUUAUUUUUGCUGAAAAUCGAGAAGGCAUGUGGGGCCAUAAAUGACGAUUACAAAAAUUAGAAAGGCACAAGCGGGAGAGAAUUGAUGACAUUUGAUGCGUGUGGCAGUUUCACAAUCUGCCACACGGUUGCCAUAUACAUAUUUCGUUAUCUAAAUAGUGUGUGGAAUUGUUUACACAGAUGAACAAAACAUUACUUGAAGUAGAGGUUCUGCCAAAAGAAAGAAAGAGCAUCUUGCAGGUUCAAGUUUGAGUAGUUGAGCCAGACAAUUUAUCGUAGGCGUUGUAUGUAAUAAUAAUUUAAUUAUUUUCAUAGGAGUACGACUCAUAGUAUCGGCAUGGAGGUCGUGAACAAAAGCAGAAGUAUCCUUAAUUUUUUAUUAGUGAUUGUAAUUUUCCUUAUAAAGAACAUACUACUCUCGUGUAAACCCAUCCCUCUACAUAUGUACUGUCAGUUUUUUGCAAAUCGAACAAAUUGCGUAUGUAGCAAGUGCUAGUAUCUUGAAAUGCAGUUAUGCGUAUGCCCCUAAGAGUAGGUGAAUAGAAAACUCGAACCAAAAAUGGCUUUCUCCUAAUAGUAAUCGUGCUAGAACUCAUUCAAAGCUGAAGUGAACUAUAAUUAUAACCAGCCUUUGUCAAUAGAAGUCCUACUGAUCACAAAUUCCUCUAAUUUCCUCCAGACUCAAGAUCAAGAUGGUGGACAGUGCACGGAUAUUACAAAAUUAACAAUUCACAAUACGAAUUAAAUAUCACAAAUUGCAAGGUACAAGUUUUGAGCACAUACAAUCUUUCAUUGGUAGGCAACACUACAACUUUGGAGGUCAACACAUUAGGCAAACUCUUUGGAAUUAAGAUAGUGAAAAGUAAAUGUAUGCGAAAGCAAGCUUCAGUUCAGUAAACCAUCAAGCCCAGAUUGCUGCACUCCGAAUUUCCUUUAGACUUGUACGCUACCUUCAGGUCAGCAAGCUUUAUGUUCAGCAAGUGUGUAACAAAACAAGAAUUGAACUGGAAUAGAAUUUGAAAUUUGAACUGAAAUACAAUACGAAAACUAAACUGAGUGUACUUUCAGAUUUUCACAUGGGCAUCAGUGCAUGAAGCACCAAUGAAAUUGAACUGAAACAAACUUCAGUUCAACAAACUUAUAUGAAGUUAUAUGAAGCAUGCUUGAAUGCGUUGACCCGAAGCAUGCUUGUAGGAGAGUAGUGGCACUGGAAGCGAGCCUUUUGCUGAACUUAUAUGAAGUUAUAUGAACUUGUCUAACUUAUAUGGAACUUAUAUGAAGCCUUUUGCUGAACUUAUAUGAAGUUGACCAGACAAGAUGAUACCG
rnacentral:lncRNA from 1 species